rnacentral:rRNA from 1 species
UACGUAGGGUGCGAGCGUUAAUCGGAAUUACUGGGCGUAAAGCGUGCGCAGGCGGCUUUGCAAGACAGAUGUGAAAUCCCCGGGCUCAACCUGGGAACUGCAUUUGUGACUGCAUGGCUGGAGUGCGGCAGAGGGGGAUGGAAUUCCGCGUGUAGCAGUGAAAUGCGUAGAUAUGCGGAGGAACACCGAUGGCGAAGGCAAUCCCCUGGGCCUGCACUGACGCUCAUGCACGAAAGCGUGGGGAGCAAACAGG